rnacentral:rRNA from 1 species
GAUGAACGCUGGCGGCGUGCCUAAUACAUGCAAGUCGAGCGAACAGACGCGGAGCUUGCUCCUCUGUCGUUAGCGGCGGACGGGUGAGUCACACGUGGAUAACCCACCUAUAAGACUGGGAUAACCUCGGGACACCGGCGCUUAUCGCGGAUAAUCUAUUGAACCGCAUGGGUCAUUAGUGAAAGACGGUGUUGCUGGCACUUCUCGAUGCAUCUGCGCCGCAUUAGCUAGUUGGGAAGGUAACGGCUUACCACGGCGACGAUGCGUAGCCGACCUGAGAGAGUGAUCGGCCACACGGGAACUGAGACACGGUCCAGACGCCUACGGGAGGCAGCAGUAGGGAAUCGUAGGCAAUGGGGGAAAGCCUGACGGAGCAACGGGGCGUGAGUGAUGAAGGUCUUCGGAGCGGAAAACUCUGUUAUGAGGGAAGAACAAAUGUGUAAGUAACUAAAGACGGAUUGACGGUACCUGGUAAGAAAGCCACGGCUAACUACGUG